rnacentral:tRNA from 1 species
GAGAGAUGGCUGAGUGGUCGAAAGCACCGGUUUGCUAAACCGACGUAGCCCUCAAAGGCUACCGCGGGUUCGAAUCCCGCUCUCUCC